CUGCUACAGCUGACCACCACACUUUUCACAGGCGCCUUCUAAAGGGUGAUCAAGGUCAGGCUGGGCCCCCAGGACCUCCAGGAACACCUGGUCCCAGAGGGCCUCCAGGAAACACAGGCAGAGAUGGGCCGCAGGGCCACCCAGGAGAACCAGUGAGACGCUCUCUUUCUAUCUCACAUGGUCUCGUGUGCCUGUGUCUGUACUGAGCUCACUCAUUCUACAGCUGUUGUGACUCAUAUAUGAGUCACACUGUGCUGAAGACUCUUCUCAGAAGACCAGGUGCAGCUUCUCACUGAGCUGAACCCUGUGUUCAGCUCAAUGUUGGGUUCAGACAUACUGCAUUUGCUUCUACAUUUGCGUUCUUGACAGAUGCUCC
rnacentral:lncRNA from 1 species